rnacentral:lncRNA from 1 species
GAGAGGCAGCCCGAAUCUGCAAGCCCCGCAACCUUUUCCGACGGCCAAGAGAACCAAGAAAUUUGGAAUUGCUGGGAAGUAUUGUAAGUGUACAUCGUUUCGCCCCAACUCUCAAUCUUCUUUGAUGGCCAAGAGACUGGUUCGGAUUGGUGGAUGAUAGAUGGAAUUAUUGGGUUAUUCAAUGCGGCUCAGGAUUAAUUCAUAACCGAUUAAAGAGCGAUAUACAUUUAGAUUUCGUACUUUUUAUUGUGAAUUGUCUCUUCGAAUCACUACCG